UAAAAGUGCUAUAUAGAACCUUAAAUUUAAGGUUGAGCCUGGUCAGUAUCUGGAUGGGAGACCUCCUGGGAAAACUAGGUUGCUGUUGGAA
rnacentral:rRNA from 1 species